rnacentral:rRNA from 1 species
GACGAACGCUGGCGGCGUGCUUAACACAUGCAAGUCGAACGGAAAGGCCCUGCUUUUGUGGGGUGCUCGAGUGGCGAACGGGUGAGUAACACGUGAGUAACCUGCCCUUGACUUUGGGAUAACUUCAGGAAACUGGGGCUAAUACCGGAUAGGAGCUCCUGCUGCAUGGUGGGGGUUGGAAAGUUUCGGCGGUUGGGGAUGGACUCGCGGCCUAUCAGCUUGUUGGUGGGGUAGUGGCUUACCAAGGCUUUGACGGGUAGCCGGCCUGAGAGGGUGACCGGCCACAUUGGGACUGAGAUACGGCCCAGACUCCUACGGGAGGCAGCAGUGGGGAAUAUUGCACAAUGGGCGGAAGCCUGAUGCAGCAACGCCGUGUGCGGGAUGACGGCCUUCGGGUUGUAAACCGCUUUCGCCUGUGACGAAGCGUGAGUGACGGUAAUGGGUAAAGAAGCACCGGCUAACUACGUG